CAGGGAGCUUGCUCCGCUGACGAGUGGCGAACGGGUGAGUAAUACAUCGGAACGUGUCCUGUAGUGGGGGAUAGCCCGGCGAAAGCCGGAUUAAUACCGCAUACGCUCUACGGAGGAAAGGGGGGGAUCUUCGGACCUCUCGCUAUAGGGGCGGCCGAUGGCAGAUUAGCUAGUUGGUGGGGUAAAGGCCUACCAAGGCGACGAUCUGUAGCUGGUCUGAGAGGACGACCAGCCACACUGGGACUGAGACACGGCCCAGACUCCUACGGGAGGCAGCAGUGGGGAAUUUUGGACAAUGGGCGCAAGCCUGAUCCAGCAAUGCCGCGUGUGUGAAGAAGGCCUUCGGGUUGUAAAGCACUUUUGUUCGGGAAGAAAAGGAGUGGGCUAAUAUCCUGCUCUGAUGACGGUACCGGAAGAAUAAGCACCGGCUAACUACGUGCCAGCAGCCGCGGUAAUACGUAGGGUGCAAGCGUUAAUCGGAAUUACUGGGCGUAAAGCGUGCGCAGGCGGUUUGUUAAGACAGAUGUGAAAUCCCCGGGCUCAACCUGGGAACUGCAUUUGUGACUGGCAAGCUAGAGUCUGGCAGAGGGGGGUGGAAUUCCGCGUGUAGCAGUGAAAUGCGUAAAUAUGCGGAGGAACACCGAUGGCGAAGGCAGCCCCCUG
rnacentral:rRNA from 1 species